GCUAAUGUGCAGCUGGUAGAGUAUGAGACUCUUAAUCUCAGGGUUAUGGGUUCGAACCUCACGUUGUGCA